rnacentral:rRNA from 1 species
UUAAGCGACUAAGCGUACACGGUGGAUGCCCUGGCAGUCAGAGGCGAUGAAGGACGUGCUAAUCUGCGAAAAGCGUCGGUAAGGUGAUAUGAACCGUUAUAACCGGCGAUGUCCGAAUGGGGAAACCCAGUGCAAUUCGUUGCACUAUCGUUAACUGAAUACAUAGGUUAACGAGGCGAACCGGGGGAACUGAAACAUCUAAGUACCCCGAGGAAAAGAAAUCAACCGAGAUUCCCCCAGUAGCGGCGAGCGAACGGGGAGCAGCCCAGAGUCUGAAUCAGCUUGUGUGUUAGUGGAACGGUCUGGAAAGUCCGACGGUACAGGGUGAUAGUCCCGUACACCAAAAUGCACAGGUUGUGAACUCGAAGAGUAGGGCGGGACACGUGGUAUCCUGUCUGAAUAUGGGGGGACCAUCCUCCAAGGCUAAAUACUCCUGACUGACCGAUAGUGAACCAGUACCGUGAGGGAAAGGCGAAAAGAACCCCGGCGAGGGGAGUGAAAAAGAACCUGAAACCGUGUACGUACAAGCAGUGGGAGCACCUUCGGGUGUGACUGCGUACCUUUUGUAUAAUGGGUCAGCGACUUAUAUUCUGUAGCAAGGUUAACCGUAUAGGGGAGCCGCAGGGAAACCGAGUCUUAACUGGGCGUUAAGUUGCAGGGUAUAGACCCGAAACCCGGUGAUCUAGCCAUGGGCAGGUUGAAGGUUGGGUAACACUAACUGGAGGACCGAACCGACUAAUGUUGAAAAAUUAGCGGAUGACUUGUGGCUGGGGGUGAAAGGCCAAUCAAACCGGGAGAUAGCUGGUUCUCCCCGAAAGCUAUUUAGGUAGCGCCUCGUGAAUUCAUCUUCGGGGGUAGAGCACUGUUUCGGCUAGGGGGUCAUCCCGACUUACCAACCCGAUGCAAACUACGAAUACCGAAGAAUGUUAUCACGGGAGACACACGGCGGGUGCUAACGUCCGUCGUGAAGAGGGAAACAACCCAGACCGCCAGCUAAGGUCCCAAAGUCAUGGUUAAGUGGGAAACGAUGUGGGAAGGCACAGACAGCCAGGAUGUUGGCUUAGAAGCAGCCAUCAUUUAAAGAAAGCGUAAUAGCUCACUGGUCGAGUCGGCCUGCGCGGAAGAUGUAACGGGGCUAAACCAUGCACCGAAGCUGCGGCAGCGACACUAUGUGUUGUUGGGUAGGGGAGCGUUCUGUAAGCCUGCGAAGGUGNUGCUGGAGGUAUCAGAAGUGCGAAUGCUGACAUAAGUAACGAUAAAGCGGGUGAAAAGCCCGCUCGCCGGAAGACCAAGGGUUCCUGUCCAACGUUAAUCGGGGCAGGGUGAGUCGACCCCUAAGGCGAGGCCGAAAGGCGUAGUCGAUGGGAAACAGGUUAAUAUUCCUGUACUUGGUGUUACUGCGAAGGGGGGACGGAGAAGGCUAUGUUAGCCGGGCGACGGUUGUCCCGGUUUAAGCAUGUAGGCUGAUUGUCCAGGCAAAUCCGGAUAAUCAAGGCUGAGGUGUGAUGACGAGGCACUACGGUGCUGAAGUAACAAAUGCCCUGCUUCCAGGAAAAGCCUCUAAGCAUCAGGUAACAUCAAAUCGUACCCCAAACCGACACAGGUGGUCAGGUAGAGAAUACCAAGGCGCUUGAGAGAACUCGGGUGAAGGAACUAGGCAAAAUGGUGCCGUAACUUCGGGAGAAGGCACGCUGGUGUGUAGGUGAAGCCCCUGCGGGUGGAGCUGAGACCAGUCGAAGAUACCAGCUGGCUGCAACUGUUUAUUAAAAACACAGCACUGUGCAAACACGAAAGUGGACGUAUACGGUGUGACGCCUGCCCGGUGCCGGAAGGUUAAUUGAUGGGGUUAUCCGUAAGGAGAAGCUCUUGAUCGAAGCCCCGGUAAACGGCGGCCGUAACUAUAACGGUCCUAAGGUAGCGAAAUUCCUUGUCGGGUAAGUUCCGACCUGCACGAAUGGCGUAAUGAUGGCCAGGCUGUCUCCACCCGAGACUCAGUGAAAUUGAACUCGCUGUGAAGAUGCAGUGUACCCGCGGCAAGACGGAAAGACCCCGUGAACCUUUACUAUAGCUUGACACUGAACAUUGAGCCUUGAUGUGUAGGAUAGGUGGGAGGCUUUGAAGCGUGGACGCCAGUCUGCGUGGAGCCAACCUUGAAAUACCACCCUUUAAUGUUUGAUGUUCUAACGUUGGCCCCUGACCGGGGUUGCGGACAGUGUCUGGUGGGUAGUUUGACUGGGGCGGUCUCCUCCCAAAGCGUAACGGAGGAGCACGAAGGUUAGCUAAUCCUGGUCGGACAUCAGGAGGUUAGUGCAAUGGCAUAAGCUAGCUUGACUGCGAGCGUGACGGCGCGAGCAGGUGCGAAAGCAGGUCAUAGUGAUCCGGUGGUUCUGAAUGGAAGGGCCAUCGCUCAACGGAUAAAAGGUACUCCGGGGAUAACAGGCUGAUACCGCCCAAGAGUUCAUAUCGACGGCGGUGUUUGGCACCUCGAUGUCGGCUCAUCACAUCCUGGGGCUGAAGUAGGUCCCAAGGGUAUGGCUGUUCGCCAUUUAAAGUGGUACGCGAGCUGGGUUUAGAACGUCGUGAGACAGUUCGGUCCCUAUCUGCCGUGGGCGCUGGAGAAUUGAGGGGGGCUGCUCCUAGUACGAGAGGACCGGAGUGGACGCAUCACUGGUGUUCGGGUUGUCAUGCCAAUGGCACUGCCCGGUAGCUAAAUGCGGAAGAGAUAAGUGCUGAAAGCAUCUAAGCACGAAACUUGCCCCGAGAUGAGUUCUCCCUGAGACUUUAAGUCUCCUGAAGGAACGUUGAAGACGACGACGUUGAUAGGCCGGGUGUGUAAGCGCAGCGAUGCGUUGAGCUAACCGGUACUAAUGAACCGUGAGGCUUAACCUU